CAAAAAAGUAAGUCUCAGUUCGGAUUGAAGGCUGAAAUUCGCCUUUAUGAAGCCGGAAUUGCUAGUAAUGGCAGGUCAGCAUACUGCCGUGAAUACGUUCCCGGGCCUUGUACACACCGCCCGUCACACCAUGAGAGUUGGGAAUACCCGAAGCCUGUGAGCUAACUUUUAGAGGCAGCAGUCGAAGGUAGAAUCAAUGAUUGGGGUGAAGUCGUAACAAGGUAUC
rnacentral:rRNA from 1 species